UUAUUAGAGGACUGCAUGCACAACCUAAUUUGCUUCUGGACUAAAUUGUUAUUGAUGUUAGAAGUGCUCCUAUCUGUUCGGUGGAACCACCUACCCACCCUUUUGUUGUAAUGGUUAUCUUGCAUUAUAAAGAAAAGAGUAAAAUACGAUAAUUCGUUUACUCACUCUCAUACUUUUAGUUACUUAUGGUAGCCAGAAUUUUUUUCGCGUAUGGUUUCCUUAGUUAUAUUGGUCUCAUCUUGUACAGGUUCAACGAAAUGCUAAACCACCUGUUUGUAAGCUCGCGGACUACAACAAGGAGAAGUACAAACAACAAAUAAAGGAAAAAGACCGUGCUAAAAGCAAGUUUGAAGUGACUUUACGGAAAGGAGGUUGCAAAGAAGUUCGGUUUUCUGUUAAAACUGAACAAAAAGAUCUCCAAAUGAAAGCAGAUACGGUGAAGAGGUUGAUGGACUGUGGUUAUCGAGUCAAGUGUAUGGCCUUGGGUAAGGAAGAUGACUUGGGGGGAAUCUCAUCUCGUUUUAGCGCUCUGGUAUCGCCUCAUCUUUUUAACCAUCUCUUGCAUUUCUCCAUUCUUGAGAUUGUUCUUUAUGUCUUGUAUUUUUAUGCACCCUUUACUUUAUUCGCUUUAUCCAGAUUGAAGAUGUUUUUGUCGUGGAAAGUGGACCCAGGGUGGAAAAAAAACAUGCUUAUGUUAUUGUUGGGCAUGUGAA